rnacentral:rRNA from 1 species
UACGAAGGGGGCUAGCGUUGCUCGGAAUUCCUGGGCGUAAAGGGAGCGUAGGCGGACAGUUUAGUCAGAGGUGAAAGCCCAGGGCUCAACCCUGGAAUUGCCUUUGAUACUGACUGUCUUGAGUGUGGGAGAGGUGUGUGGAACUCCGAGUGUAGAGGUGAAAUUCGUAGAUAUUCGGAAGAACACCAGUGGCGAAGGCGACACACUGGCCCAUUACUGACGCUGAGGCUCGAAAGCGUGGGGAGCAAACAGG